GACGAACGCUGGCGGCGUGCCUAAUACAUGCAAGUGGGACGCAAGGAAACACACUGUGCUUGCACACCGUGUUUUCUUGAGUCGCGAACGGGUGAGUAACGCGUAGGUAACCUGCCUAUUAGCGGGGGAUAACUAUUGGAAACGAUAGCUAAUACCGCAUAAUAUUAAUUAUUGCAUGAUAAUUGAUUGAAAGAUGCAAGCGCAUCACUAGUAGAUGGACCUGCGUUGUAUUAGCUAGUUGGUAAGGUAAGAGCUUACCAAGGCGACGAUACAUAGCCGACCUGAGAGGGUGAUCGGCCACACUGGGACUGAGACACGGCCCAGACUCCUACGGGAGGCAGCAGUAGGGAAUCUUCGGCAAUGGACGAAAGUCUGACCGAGCAACGCCGCGUGAGUGAAGAAGGUUGUCGGAUCGUAAAGCUCUGUUGUAAGUCAAGAACGUGUGUGAGAGUGGAAAGUUCACACAGUGACGGUAGCUUACCAGAAAGGGACGGCUAACUACGUG
rnacentral:rRNA from 1 species